AGGAGGGGACAGUGGGGGACCACAGAAGGCUUCUCUGUGACCCCUGAGCUAUGGCUUAAAGAAUAAGGGCAGCUAACCUGGGAAGCAGGAGAGCUUGGAGCAGAAGGCCAGGGAGAAAAGGACAGGCAUGUGGAUGUGGCUGACUCAAAGCUGGGGCUCCAGCUGAGGGGUCAGGGAAUGAGGUGCCUUGAGGAGCAGAAUGGGGGAGGCCUGGCUGGGCAUGGAGUUCACAUUCAGGCAAGAGGCCAAGUGACAGUAAUAACAUUUGAGCACCUGUAUCCAGCCAUACCUCAAGUUCACAGACCUGG
rnacentral:lncRNA from 10 species